rnacentral:rRNA from 1 species
GACGAACGCUGGCGGCGGGCUUAACACAGGCAAGUCGAACGGAAAGGCCCGGCUUUUGUUGGGUGCUCGAUUUGCGAACGGGUGAGUAACACGUGAGUAACCUGCCCUUGACUUUGGGAUAACUUCAGGAAACUGGGGCUAAUACCGGAUAGGAGCUCCUGCUGCAUGGUGGGGGUUGGAAAGUUUCGGCCGUUGGGGCUGGACUCGCGGCUUAUCAGCUUGUUGGUGGGGUAGUGGCUUACCAAGGCUUUGACGGGUAGCCGGCCUGAGAGGGUGACCGGCCACAUUGGGACUGAGAUACGGCACAGACUCCUACGGGAGGCAGCAGUGGGGAAUAUUGCACAAUGGGCGGACGCCUGAUGCAGCAACGCCGCGUGCGCGAUGACGGCCUUCGGGUUGUAAACCGCUUUCGCCUGUGACGAAGCGUGAGUGACGGUAAUGGGUAAAGAAGCACCGGCUAACUACGUG